CACUCACUCUCUCUUCACGGGCGCUCAGAUUUGAGAGAGUCGUCGUCCUCUUCUUCCUCGGCCGCCUAGUCAAGUCCACCGCUCUGACAGCCCGUCCCAGUCCUGGCCGCACCACCGCAACCAGCACUCCAUUCCCAAAUCCCCAAAUUUGCUUAGCGGUCAGUUCCCCCCCAAUCCGAGCAAACGGCGGUCCUCCUCUUCUUCUUCCUCCUCGGCAUGAGCGGCUUCUUGGCGGUCGUCGGCAGGAUCGGCACCUUCCUGCUGUGGGUGCUCUUCCUGGUGCUGCAGACGGCCACCCGGAUCGUCGGCAGCCUCCUCGCUGGGCCAGCCGAGCAGCAGGAGGACCCGCUGCAAGAAUCGGCGGCGGUAGCGCGCCGCAGGUCGCCGCCAGCCUCGCCGCGCCGUGACCCCUACGAGCCGGCGUCGGCGCCGCCGCCGCAGCUCUGGGACCCGCCGCCGCUGCCGUACUCCCCCUCAGCUCCCGCGGCGGAUGAGUACUCCUCGUCCUCGAGCUUCCGGCGUCGGAGCGCGCCGCCGCCACUGCCGGCUGAGGACGUAGUGGUGUCCUCGAGUGCCUACUCGCGUCCGCCGCCGGGGGCUUCCCAUGCGCAUUCCGUUUCGGCGCCUCCGCUGAGGGCAAUCGAGACGCGGGCGGUGCCAGCGAGGGCGGCGCCAGCUGGGGGUAAGCGGCCGAGGCUGGAGAGGAAGUACUCCAGGAUUGUUGACCAGUACCGCUCCUUGGAUGAGGUUAUCGAAGCAUUAGCACAAGCUGGUCUUGAGUCUUCCAAUUUAAUCAUAGGAAUUGAUUUCACAAAGAGUAAUGAAUGGACAGGAAAGAAUUCCUUCAAUGGCAUGAGCCUGCAUCAUAUUGGUGACACCCCAAAUCCUUAUGAACAGGCAAUAUCCAUCAUUGGGCAGACCUUAUCAGCUUUUGACGAGGAUAAUUUAAUUCCUUGCUAUGGUUUUGGAGAUGCAUCUACACAUGACCAAGAUGUAUUUGCCUUUUAUCCUGACGAAAGACCAUGCAAUGGUUUUCAGGAAGCUUUAGCUCGAUACAGAGAAAUUGUUCCUCACCUUCGCCUUUCUGGUCCUACAUCAUUCGCUCCAAUAAUUGAAAUGGCCACAACCAUUGUUGAGCAAAGUGGUGGCCAAUACCAUGUUUUAGUAAUUAUCGCUGAUGGGCAGGUCACACGAAGUGUAGAUACCGAAUUUGGUCAGUUAAGCACCCAGGAGCAAAUGACAGUUGAUGCUAUCGUACAAGCCAGCGAAUUUCCCUUGUCUAUAAUUCUCGUUGGAGUUGGAGAUGGUCCAUGGGAUAUGAUGAAGGAAUUUGAUGACAACAUACCGGCUAGGUCUUUUGACAAUUUCCAGUUUGUCAACUUCACUGCGAUCAUGUCAAAAAAGAUAACUCAAAGCAAAAAGGAGACAGAGUUUGCACUUUCAGCACUCAUGGAAAUUCCAUUGCAGUACAAGGCAACAUUAGAGCUUGGAAUUUUAGGACGUCGACUUUCAAAGUCGCCUGAGCGAGUUCCACUCCCUCCUCCCUUUGCAAGUUAUAGCACUGUUUCAAGAGCAGCACCAUCUCGGGCAAAUAGCUAUCGAAGCGUGCCUUCACGUCCUAGAGAGGAGCCAACUGUAGAUUCAACAAUCACAGCAUCAGUGACAUCCCCACCAGCUGUUGAAACUAGAGUUUCAGAACCCCAGAAUCUACAGAAUAUGAAGCUCUCGUGUCGCUUAUGCACUUCCUAUGUUUUCAUUCUUGGAUAAAUUCCUCUGCCACUGGAAUUUAACCCAUUUUCUUGAAGACACAUAUGUGCCCAGUUUGCCUUUCCAAACCCCGGGACAUGGCAUUUGGUUGUGGCCACCAGACAUGCUCAGAAUGUGGACCACAAGUCGCAGAUUGUCCAAUCUGUCGAAGGCCCAUUGAUACGAGAGUAAAAUUGUACUAGUCGUCGUCAUGUCAUCAUCUGUUGCGACUUACUAGGUUUAACGGAAUCGCAUGCAAGCAGGAAGUAGAAUCCAUUAAAAAGGAACUCUUAGACAUUGAUGAUGUAGAGUGUAUCCAUUUAAUAAAUCAGCUGUACAAAAUGGAGAAUAAUAGUUCUUUGCUCGUAUCCUGUUUCAGUUC